ACAUGAUGUUGGAGAGUUAGAUAAUAUUCUCCCCUUUUUUAGUAAUUAUUUGAUAGAUUUUCACUAUUCUUCUUAUCUUAUUCAUAUUUCAUCACUUCAAUAAUUGUUUGUGCCUUUAAGGAGCACAGAGGGCUGCACAUACGAUGGUAAAGAAAGCAAAGAGAUUCCUGACAAAACCCAAAAAACAAAGAUACAGAGAUCCAUACAAGGUAAAUGUUUUCUCAUCAUGCUGUAGCAAGCAAUAGUGUACCAUGUCAAUGCAUUUGGUGAGUUGUGCAGUCUUAUCUUCAUGUGUUGUAUUGUCCCUUGACAUAAAUUGAUGAUAUCUGAAUUACAUUUUAAGGAACUUCUUGCAUAUAAUUCUGCAAAAACAACAUUACAAUCUGGUGUUUGUGCCAUUAGUGGUCAUUAGAAUGCUUCCCAACUUGUAGAAGGUUUUUUUUUUCUUUUUCCCUCCAGUUUUAGGGCUAUAUGGAGCUACUUUUGGUUCCUUAUUUGGAGGUCAUUUAGUCGGAGUUCUGAAAUGUUCUCUUCCAACCACUGUAAAUGUCUCAUUUUUCCCCUCAACUUGCCGCUUUUUUUCCUGAGCAUUUUAAGGGUUCCAAAUGAUACCCCUUUGUUUUGCGCUACUGCUACUUUUCUUCCUGCAACCCUGUCGCCCCUCCUUUAGGUCCUUGUAGGAGAUCUCACACUCUUGCUAUAGGUAGCUAUGCUUAGUUUAAUCAAAAGUGUGUGCAAGAUACAACUACCUCUCUUUCUUCAUGCUUGGUUUCCUUCUUUUACCCUUUUAACAUCCUCUUAUUCUUCCAUUUUCCACAUUUCCCCAUCCUUUGCGUUUUGCUCCUUGUUCAGUAGUUUGCUAUUUACACAAAGCAACAUAUAUUCUGGCUCUAUUUACCUCUUCCACUCUUCCUCCAUUCCCAUCUAUUUCUCUAACCACUUAUUUCCUACUCUCUUUCAGCAUAUAUUCUGACUUACUUCCUCUCAAUUGCACCCUUACUCAUUUGCUCUUUCUCAUUAUCUUAUUUAUUUGGGCCUUUCUACUUGGUUGCUGCACCACCUUCUUCCAAUAGUACGCUAGUAUCAUGUUCCCUGUGAAUGACCUUUCUUGCAUUACGUAGUUAUACUUUUUUGUAAGCAAGAUUUCUCCAAGGGUCUACAUUUGUUGAACCAUGCUAGGCCAGUACAAACAUCAACACGAGGUCAACAUGGAACCCACUGAUUCUGUUUUUUUCUGAAAUCUGAACCUUUUUAUUUUUAUUUAGGUAUUUUUUUCAGUUUCGAGAUGAGAUGGCACAAUAGGCCCUUGCUAGUAACACUCGAUUCCUCAAUUCAAGCUUAUUUCAGGAACAUGACAGGAAUGCCAGCAUUUGGAUUCAAACCUGGUACCUCCCCUUAACAAGACCAAGUUCCUUCAGGCAAAGUAUAUCUUUCUCGAGUUCCUAUUUGACUCUCAGGGCACCAUUCCUCAAUUCUCUUUUACUUUGAUCAAUCGAUAACUCCUCAAGCAGAUGCCUAAGCUGGUCUAAUUGGCCUUGUGCACUAUUGACACCUAUUCCUGAAGAAGCCUUUUUUGUUCUCAUUUACUAGUUCCUUGAGCACUUACCUAGUUCUUCGUUUCCAGGAGAGCGGUAAGCUUUUCACUUGCCUCCUAAGUUUUGUUCCAGACCGCAGUCUGGGCAGCAGGGUAGAUCCUGUGUUAGAACUGAACAGAAGUGCAACCAUGCGCAUCAGCCAUGCCUGC
rnacentral:lncRNA from 1 species